rnacentral:RNase_P_RNA from 1 species
AGGGUCAGCCGGAUAAUCGCGGAAACUUUGUUUCUGAGGAAAGUCCGAGCUCCGAAGGGCAGGAUGCCGGGUAACGCCCGGGCAGGCAGACGAAAGUUAUUCCUGACAGAUAGUGCAACAGAAAAUACACCGCCGUAUAUUUACUGUCCGUAUGCUUUUUUAAGUAUUUACGGACCUGAAUUUAAGUAAAAUAACGGUAAGGGUGAAAUGGCGGGGUAAG